rnacentral:rRNA from 1 species
UGUUUCGGCAAGGGGGUCAUCCCGACUUACCAACCCGAUGCAAACUGCGAAUACCGGAGAAUGUUAUCACGGGAGACACACGGCGGGUGCUAACGUCCGUCGUGAAGAGGGAAACAACCCAGACCGCCAGCUAAGGUCCCAAAGUCAUGGUUAAGUGGGAAACGAUGUGGGAAGGCCCAGACAGCCAGGAUGUUGGCUUAGAAGCAGCCAUCAUUUAAAGAAAGCGUAAUAGCUCACUGGUCGAGUCGGCCUGCGCGGAAGAUGUAACGGGGCUAAACCAUGCACCGAAGCUGCGGCAGCGACGCUUAUGCGUUGUUGGGUAGGGGAGCGUUCUGUAAGCCUGUGAAGGUGUGCUGUGAGGCAUGCUGGAGGUAUCAGAAGUGCGAAUGCUGACAUAAGUAACGAUAAAGCGGGUGAAAAGCCCGCUCGCCGGAAGACCAAGGGUUCCUGUCCAACGUUAAUCGGGGCAGGGUGAGUCGACCCCUAAGGCGAGGCCGAAAGGCGUAGUCGAUGGGAAACAGGUUAAUAUUCCUGUACUUGGUGUUACUGCGAAGGGGGGACGGAGAAGGCUAUGUUGGCCGGGCGACGGUUGUCCCGGUUUAAGCGUGUAGGCUGGUUUUCCAGGCAAAUCCGGAAAAUCAAGGCUGAGGCGUGAUGACGAGGCACUACGG